AAGUCGUAACAAGGUUUCCGUAGGUGAACCUGCGGAAGGAUCAUUACCGAGUUAGGGUCUUCAUGGCCCGACCUCCAACCCUAUGUCUACUAUACCGUGUUGCUUUGGCGGGUCCGCCCUUUAGGGCCGCCGGGGGCUUCACUGCUCCUGGCCCGUGUCCGCCAGUAGCCUCCUUAAAUUCUUUUAUAACCUUGUUGUCUGAGUCCAAAUAUCAAAUCAUUUUAAAACUUUCAACAACGGAUCUCUUGGUUCUGGCAUCGAUGAAGAACGCAGCGAAAUGCGAUAAGUAAUGCGAAUUGCAGAAUUCAGUGAGUCAUCGAAUCUUCGAACGCACAUUGCGCCCUUUGGUAUUCCGAAGGGCAUGCCUGUUCGAGCGUCAUUAUCAACCAUCAAGCCUGGCUUGUCGUUGGACCCCUUUGUCGCCCGGCGACAGAUCCAAAAGAUAAUGACCGGCGUCGUGGUGACCCUACAUGCAACGAGCUUGUAAGAGCAUGCACGUGGUGGUUGUCCGGCUCGGUUGUCACCCUUUAUUUUCUCAAGGUUGACCUCGAAUCAGGUAGGAAUACCCGCUGAACUUAAGCAUAUCAAUAAGCGGAGGAAAAGAAACCAACAGGGAUUACCCUAGUAACGGCGAGUGAAGCGGUAACAGCUCAAAUUUGAAAUCUGGCCUUCACGGGUCCGAGUUGUAAUUUGUAGAGGAUGUUUCGGGCAAGGCUGUGGUUUAAGUUUCUUGGAACAGAACGUCAUAGAGGGUGAGAGUCCCGUCUAGAACUGAUGGCCGCGUCCAUGUGAAACUCCCUCGACGAGUCGAGUUGUUUGGGAAUGCAGCUCAAAAUGGGUGGUAAAUUUCAUCUAAAGCUAAAUAUUGGCCAGAGACCGAUAGCGCACAAGUAGAGUGAUCGAAAGAUGAAAAGCACUUUGAAAAGAGAGUUAAACAGUAUGUGAAAUUGUUGAAAGGGAAGCGCUUGCAACCAGACUUGUGUAUAACGGUUCCCCCGGUCCUCUGAUCGGGCUAUUCUGUUAUAUCCAGGCCAGCAUCGGUUUGGGUGGUCGGUUAAAGGUCCUGGGAAUGUAUCUACCUUCGGGUCGACUUAUAGCCCAGGGCGUAAUGCGGCCUAUCUGGACCGAGGAACGCGCUUUUGCUCGGAUGCUGGCGUAAUGGUUGUAAGCGGCC
rnacentral:rRNA from 1 species